rfam:Vibrio cincinnatiensis DSM 19608 genome assembly, contig: BS67DRAFT_scaffold00007.7
GAUAGAUAACUCACUGUUCCUUUUUGACUUCUUUUUUCUCCAAUAAUCCUUGGAGGCGAGCUCGUUUACGGAAAUAAGUCAAAAACGAACAGGAAGCCUCCCUAGGGAGGCUUUUUUUAU